GUGCCAGCCGCCGCGGUAAUACGUAGGGGGCUAGCGUUGUCCGGAUUUAUUGGGCGUAAAGAGCGUGUAGGCGGCCAGGUAGGUCUGGUGUGAAAACUCGAGGCUUAACCUCGAGAUGUCAUCGGAAACCAUCUGGCUAGAGUCCGGAAGAGGAAAGUGGAAUUCCUGGUGUAGCGGUGAAAUGCGCAGAUAUCAGGAAGAACACCAAUGGCGAAAGCAGCUUUCUGGGACGGUACUGACGCUGAGACGCGAAAGCGUGGGGAGCGAACAGGAUUAGAUACCCCAGUAGUCC
rnacentral:rRNA from 1 species